rnacentral:rRNA from 1 species
AUUGAACGCUGGCGGCAGGCCUAACACAUGCAAGUCGAGCGCGAAAGUUCUUCGGAAUGAGUAAAGCGGCGGACGGGUGAGUAAUACAUGGGAAUCUGCCUGGUAGUGGGGGACAACGUUUCGAAAGGAACGCUAAUACCGCAUACGCCCUACGGGGAAAGGGGGGGAUCUUCGGACCCCUCGCUAUCAGAUGAGCCCAU